UUUUGGAGAAACAACAUCUUUACGUAUUCAGAUUCAAGUGACUGAACCGCCUGCAAAGUUUGGCUUAACUAUAAAACCCACGUUAAACUAUACGUAUGUUUCAUCUAGAAUUUUAAUAGGGUUGGGAGCAAGCAGAGUGUAGAAUUGUGGAAUGUAAAGUUUCACAUGCGCUGGGUUGUAGACGAGACUCAAAGGAACUCGGUUCACAAAGAUAAACUGGGAAUUUCAAUAAAUACUAUUAAGGGUAUCAGCUGUAAUCUCUGUACACGGACGAGCUAACCCUGUAACGGAAGAUCAACUUGAAGUUGUUGCUUCUGCAUCUUUAUCGUUGGUUAUCACCGUUUACCUAAAGACAAACAGUUUCAACUUCCCAAUCAUAAAGUAUCUCCUUACAAGGUAAAAAAUUUAAGAGUAUUUAAACACGAUUUAAUUUUUCUUCUUUUAUCCAUCCUCCAGGUAUGUUAUUGAAUAAUUAAAAUUGUUGACGUAUAAAAAAAUUAAUUAUAUUUCUAGGUAAAUAAUAACUAAAACCUGUUACAGAAUAACAAUUUAAUUAUGCUCCUUAUUCAAAAGCGUUAAGACCUAUUUUGUAUUAAAUAGUAGUUCGUUCAGCAAUUCUAACACAGGGACUUAGUUUUCUUUUAGUGUUUCCCUAACAAAUAACAUUGUUCCAUCUUUAAGAAGCGUCCGCAUCGUCAACAUGUCUGCCUUCACGACAAAUACUUUUGUAAACGAUUCAAAUUAUGUUUUUCUAAAACCUUUUGCUGCCUUUUUGUAUUUGCUUUGAAAGGCGUAUCUGUAAUUGUAUUAUUUCUUCACUGAAGUGAUGUUUUAGCUCUUUUGCAGGAUGAUGUGAUAAGGAAUAAUAUAAUAAAUUACUUCUUUAAAUAUUU